AAUAUUGGUCAAUGGGCGCAAGCCUGAUCCAGUCAUGCCGCUGGAGUUAAGAAUGCCUUCGACUUGUAAAUCUCUUUCUUACGGAAAAAAAUCACGUAGGCGACUACCCUGCGCGGAUGACAGUACCGUCAUAAGAAGAACUCGCAAACUACGUGCUAGCAUCCGCGGUAAUACGUAGGGUGCGAUCGUUAAACGGAAUUACUGGGCGUAAAGCGUGCGCAGGCGGUUGAUUAAGACAGGCGUGAAAUCCCCGGGCUUAACCUGGGAACUGCGCUUGUGACUGGUCAGCUAGAGUACGGCAGAGGGGGGUGGAAUUCCACGUGUAGCAGUGAAAUGCGUAGAGAUGUGGAGGAACACCGGUGGCGAAGGCAGCCCCCCUGGGCCGAUACUGACGCUCAUGCACGAAAGCGUGGGUAGCAAACAGG
rnacentral:rRNA from 1 species